rnacentral:rRNA from 1 species
AGUGAACGCUGGCGGUAGGCCUAACACAUGCAAGUCGAACGGCAGCACAGUAAGAGCUUGCUCUUACGGGUGGCGAGUGGCGGACGGGUGAGGAAUACAUCGGAAUCUACUUUUUCGUGGGGGAUAACGUAGGGAAACUUACGCUAAUACCGCAUACGACCUACGGGUGAAAGCAGGGGAUCUUCGGACCUUGCGCGAUUGAAUGAGCCGAUGUCGGAUUAGCUAGUUGGCGGGGUAAAGGCCCACCAAGGCGACGAUCCGUAGCUGGUCUGAGAGGAUGAUCAGCCACACUGGAACUGAGACACGGUCCAGACUCCUACGGGAGGCAGCAGUGGGGAAUAUUGGACAAUGGGCGCAAGCCUGAUCCAGCCAUACCGCGUGGGUGAAGAAGGCCUUCGGGUUGUAAAGCCCUUUUGUUGGGAAAGAAAAGCAGCAGGUUAAUAACCCGAUGUUCUGACGGUACCCAAAGAAUAAGCACCGGCUAACUUCGUG